ACUUCGAGAAAGGGGAGCAAAUUCAUUGGAUUAAUGGAGCGCCGCCCUUAGCUGAACCUGUCUGUGGUUUUCGACGUGAGAAAUGUCAGGUGCCCAAAACGUAUACGUUUGAAAUAGCCGGAGCGGUGGCUGGCGGGGUGCUGUUCAUCAUUGCCAUAGUUGCUUACAUAUUUUAUAGUAACUGGAGAUAUGAACAGGAACUAGCUGGUCUCUUAUGGAAGAUUGACUUGUACA
rnacentral:sRNA from 1 species